AGGACGAACGCUGGCGGCGUGCCUAACACAUGCAAGUCGAGCGGAAAGGCCCUUCGGGGUACUCGAGCGGCGAACGGGUGAGUAACACGUGAGCAACCUGCCCCUGGCUCUGGGAUAGCCUCCGGAAACGGGGAUUAAUACCGGACAUUCACUCUUCUGGGCAUCCUAGAGGGUGGAAAGUUUUUUCGGCCGGGGAGGGGCUCGCGGCCUAUCAGCUUGUUGGCGGGGUAACGGCCCACCAAGGCGACGACGGGUAG
rnacentral:rRNA from 1 species